rnacentral:rRNA from 1 species
UACGUAGGGGGCAAGCGUUGUCCGGAAUCAUUGGGCGUAAAGCGCGUGUAGGCGGCCCGAUAAGUCCGCUGUGAAAGUCCAGGGCUCAACCCUGGAAUGCCGGUGGAUACUGUCGGGCUCGAGUCCGGAAGAGGCGAGUGGAAUUCCUGGUGUAGCGGUGAAAUGCGCGGAUAUCAGGAGGAACACCAAUGGCGAAGGCAGCUCGCUGGGACGGUACUGACGCUGAGACGCGAAAGCGUGGGGGGCAAACAGG